GCUCCCCACAUAAAGCAAUCUGGUGGUUUAUUGAAAGAGAGAGGAAUUUGAAUAAUUUGUUGUGCUUCAAAAGGAAAGAAAGUGUCGUUAAUCAAUUGAUAAUUCCAGCCUCCAUGUUCUUCAUGUAAUAAAUCUGCUACUACCACAAGAUCACAAUUAUUUGGCUUAGGGGACCAAACUUUGUAACCUUGUUGGAACGGUAACCAAUUAUCC
rnacentral:lncRNA from 1 species